CAGCUCCACGCACGCCCUAUAGGACGCAGUUCCUCUCCUGCCCUGGAUGUUCAGCUCCACGCAUGCCCUGUAGGACACUCUUCCUCUCCUGCUCGGGAUGCUGCCGCGUGAAGCUUGCUUAGGGGCAGGAGUGCCAGGAGAACUCGGGGAUUAUCCAACUUUUCUGUGCUUCUUACAAUCUCCAUGGUGAUGAAGACUCUGGAGGAGGAGUACGGACGACCUUACUCCAAGAUGGUUGGUGUGAUGGACGAGACACAAGGCCCAGCCUCAGAGCCCUUCUGAGGGACUUCACUGUGGUUGCUGGGAAGGCCCAUACAGCCUGUGGAAGGAUGCAGAGCUGAGAAGAACACAGCUGGACAGAAUGGGUGCUGUGCCAAUGAGUGUGGAAGGGAGGACAGUGACUUUAUCCUGGGACCUUCUGGGUCCAUUCCUCAAACUUCAACAUUUAGGGUCAGGAUGUUGGGUGUCCCCCAAUGUUUCACAUAUAAAAGAUUGAUCCCUGGGACAGUCACACUAGGAGCUGCUGUGGACCCCUUACCAGGAAGAGGAAACUUAAAUCAAUAUGCUAUUCUUCUACAUCACAGUAAGGGAAUCCCUGGCUUGAGGCACAGCUCAGUGCUACAGCGAGUGCUUAGAACACAUAGGGCUGAGUUCAAUUAUAGUGCUUUCUCCGCCCCACCCCCACUUCCCAAGAGAAAGACAACUAAGUAGGCUAGGCCUGGUGGAAGGCUCUUAGAUUAUUGAUAGCCAUGCCCUUGAAGAAGAUUUCACAACUUUCCAUCACCUACACCUAUAGGGUAAGUGGGCUGUGUUAUCAGGCAUGCAUAAGAACUACUGAGGUUGAGUGAGCUCCCUAUCUGCCUCUGGACCUGCUCUGGACCAUGUAACCAUGACACCCCACAGGACAACCAAGAGGACCAAGGGCAAUUAGUCACGUAGCAUAGCACCUGGAAUUCUUCUCCACGCUAAUGAGGUAUCUAGAUAGCCUUAGCUUUCAGCCGAUGACCUGUCCUUCCUGGAUAUUCUGACAUCCUUCUCCCCAGAGGUAAAUAAUCCCUGGUUCACCCUGAAUAAAAUGUAUUCGUUCAUAUCCACCCCUAAUAAAUCAAUACGAACAAGCAA